rnacentral:rRNA from 1 species
CUAAGGCUCCAGAGGAAGCCACGGCUAACUCUGCGCCAGCAGCCGCGGUAAUACAGAGGCGGCAAGCGUUGUUCGGAAUUAUUGGGCGUAAAGAGCACGUAGGCGGCCUUGCAAGUCAGUUGUGAAAGCCUUCCGCUUAACGGAAGAAUGCCAGCUGAUACUACAGGGCUUGAGUACGGGAGGGGAGAGUGGAACUUCUGGUGGAGCGGUGAAAUGCGUAGAUAUCAGAAGGAACGCCGGCGGCGAAAGCGACUCUCUGGCCCGAAACUGACGCUGAGUGUGCGAAAGCUAGGGGAGCAAACGGGAUUAGAUACCCCGGUGGUCCUAGCCGUAAA